rnacentral:sRNA from 1 species
GUUUAGCCCCGAUUGAAGCGUUUGUUUGAGCUCUUUUUUGAUUUUUCUUCAAAAAAAGCGAGUGCGUAAAGCGGGAAAUUGC